rnacentral:rRNA from 1 species
CACGUAGGGGGCAAGCGUUGUCCGGAAUUAUUGGGCGUAAAGGGCGCGUAGGCGGUUGGAUAAGUCUUGUGUGAAAUCUUCGGGCUCAACUCGAAGUCUGCACGAGAAACUAUCUGGCUUGAGUGUGGGAGAGGUGAGUGGAAUUCCUGGUGUAGCGGUGAAAUGCGUAGAUAUCAGGAGGAACACCUGUGGCGAAAGCGGCUCACUGGACCACAACUGACGCUGAGGCGCGAAAGCUAGGGGAGCAAACAGG